GCAAAACCAUUACCUUUACCUUCUUCAACAACCAAUUACCUUUCAGUUAAUUAUCAUAGGGAUAGUUAGAAGAUACAAAACAUUAUUCCUAUUACAAGGAAUCACACAAGAGUCAGUUCAUUCAUGAGUCUAUACCAGUACCUUACAUGAUACAUGAGUACAUUUACCCAGGAUUACAUGAUACAUGUGUACGUUUACAUAAGUACUUUUAUCUAAAUAUGCUUACAUGAAUACCAUACAUGAGUACUGUUACAUAGAUACAUUAUCCUGUAUUCACUUAACUGGAUACUUGUACCUAGAGUUACGAGGAAGAUUUAUCCGUACCUUCUGUGUAAAUUUUUCCUGCCUAUCCCUAUUCGAUGGGAUGUCUAGACGGGACUAACCAUUCCGGAACCCAGCUGUUAGCACCACUGGGUGAUGAACAUCUACGGAUGUCUAAGGUUAUCACUUAUAAUAGAUAGAUUGAUAUCGGAACUAACCAUUCCUCCAUCCUGCUGUUGCAACAGAGGAUGAGAUGAAAAUCUUCGGAUGAUCAUUAGGUUACCACUUAUAUUAGGAGUCGGCUACGGGACUAACCCUUCCUCCAACCUGUUGCUGCUACAGAGGACAAUUGGACAAUCUUCAGAUGUUCAUUAGGUUAUACAUGUCACUUACUGCGAUGGCGUGUUAGUCCUGGUAACUAGGGAUAACACUUACAUGGUUAUAUUUUUCCUAUUACCUUUAUUUUGUGAUAUAUUCACAUAAACGAUGAGUAAGACUAAUUACUGUUUGUAGUAGUCAAAAAGAAGGAAAAACUAUCAUUUUACUUACAAAAAAUUCAGGUCUUGGUAGAAGACUACAUUGUCAUAACAAAACAUGCGGGUCUUGGUAGAAGACUACAUUUCAUACUAUUAGGAAACAUGGGAAUUUCUAGGGUUUUUUCAUACUUAUAUCAACUGUUCCAUUUUAAGAUUUACAUGACAUUCAUAACACCAAAAACAAGACAAUAACACCUAAAUACUUAUGAAUUCACCAGCUUUAGGCUGAUACUCGCUUUCAAAAUAACUUGUAUUCUCAGGUCAUCGGUUAGAC
rnacentral:lncRNA from 1 species